rnacentral:rRNA from 1 species
UACGUAGGGUGCGAGCGUUGUCCGGAAUUAUUGGGCGUAAAGGGCUCGUAGGCGGUUUGUCGCGUCGGGAGUGAAAACCAGGUGCUUAACACCUGGCUUGCUUUCGAUACGGGCAGACUAGAGGUAUGCAGGGGAGAACGGAAUUCCUGGUGUAGCGGUGAAAUGCGCAGAUAUCAGGAGGAACACCGGUGGCGAAGGCGGUUCUCUGGGCCUGACCUGACGCUGAGGAGCGAAAGUGUGGGGAGCGAACAGG